rnacentral:lncRNA from 1 species
GUCCUCUGAAAGCUGCUUGAAGCACAACAACUGCCUCAUCCAGAGCAAUUUCUUCCUUCUUGUUUCGGUACAACCUCCACCAUCUCUGGAUACAUUUGGCUGCUUGUUCCUUCUUGCAAUCAUCUUCAUCUUUAACAGUGCAGACUGGUGAACACUUGUUAAGUUUCUUUAAUGCAUCUUCUGUCAUUUGUCUCUCCUCUUCCUCCAAUUUUGACUGUGAUUUCCCUACUUUCUCUGUAAGGUUCUGGAUUUCCUCACUUAAAGUCUGCUCUUCCUUAGUGCUUUCUUCCUUGUUAUUCUGGUACUUCUGCAGCUCCAGCUCUGCUUCAGCCUUGGCCCGAAGUAACUGCUUGAUGUCUAACUCUUUAUUAAGUAAGAGACUUUGAAGAGCACUCCUAUCA